GAUGAACGCUGGCGGCGUGCCUAAUACAUGCAAGUUGAGCGCUGAAGGGUGGUAGUUGUACCUACUGGAGGAGCAGCGGACGGGUGAGUGACGCGUGGUUGAUCUGCCGUUGGGGGGGGGAGAACAUUUGGAAAGGAAUGCUAAUACCGCGUAAAAAGUUUACAUGUAAGGUUUAAUGAUGAAAGAUGCUGUUGGAUCACUCUAAGUUGUUUUCGCGUUGUGUUAGCUAGUUGGCGAGGUAAAGGCUAACCAAGGCGAUGAUACAUAGCCGACCUUAGAGGGUGGUCGGCCACAGUGGGAAGGAGACAAGGGCCAAACGCCUACGGAAGGACGCAGUAGGGAAUCUUCGGAGAUGGAAGAAAGUCUGACCGGGCAACGCCGGGUGCGUGGAGACAGCUUUUGGGUCGGAAAACUCUGUUGGUAGGGAAGAAAGAUGGUGAGCGUGGAAAGAUCAUCAAGUGACGGUAACUACACAGGAAGGGACGGCUAACUACGUG
rnacentral:rRNA from 1 species